GCAAGUCGAGCGCUCUCUUCGGAGGGAGCGGCGGACGGGUUAGUAACGCGUGGGAACGUACCCUUCUCUAAGGAAUAGCCACUGGAAACGGUGAGUAAUACCUUAUACGCCCUUCGGGGGAAAGAUUUAUCGGAGAAGGAUCGGCCCGCGUUAGAUUAGGUAGUUGGUGGGGUAAUGGCCUACCAAGCCUACGAUCUAUAGCUGGUUUGAGAGGAUGAUC
rnacentral:rRNA from 1 species